AACGAACGCUGGCGGCAUGCCUAACACAUGCAAGUCGAACGAGACCUUCGGGUCUAGUGGCGCACGGGUGCGUAACGCGUGGGAACCUGCCCUUAGGUUCGGAAUAACUCCCCGAAAGGGGUGCUAAUACCGGAUAAUGUCUUCGGACCAAAGAUUUAUCGCCUUUGGAUGGGCCCGCGUUGGAUUAGCUAGUUGGUAGGGUAAAAGCCUACAAAGGCGACGAUCCAUAGCUGGUCUGAGAGGAUGAUCAGCCACACUGGGACUGAGACACGGCCCAGACUCCUACGGGAGGCAGCAGUGGGGAAUAUUGGACAGUGGGCGAAAGCCUGAUCCAGCAAUGCCGCGUGAGUGAUGAAGGCCUUAGGGUUGUAAAGCUCUUUUACCCGGGAUGAUAAUGACAGUACCGGGAGAAUAAGCUCCGGCUAACUCCGUG
rnacentral:rRNA from 1 species